AUUGGACUUGCUCGUGGAGCAGCCAUCACAGACCCUGAAGGGCUGGGUUUUCUAAAUCACUUGAAAUUGGAAAAUUUAAGAGUGUUCUAGAGGCACACUCUCUGUCUGUUACAGCCCAGGGAAGCAGGAAUGGCUGGGAUUGGAGACAGAGAACACCUGGUCAUAAUGAUGGAAAACCAACCUGGUCUCCAGUCUAGCAGUGCCUCCUGCUCAUCUUAACCCUGAACUUCACAUGAUCUGCUCCUGUGAGCCUGGCUGCCUGUGUCCUGAGCCUCCUCCCUUCCUGGGUACAGCUGUGACUUUCUUGCCCCCUUUUGCCUCUGAUGCUGACCUUACAGAUUGUCCUUCUAAAGACCUCUCAUCCCUUUGAACCCCUCCCCUGGCCUCCCAGUACAGCAUGCCCCUCGGGUGACUCUGAUCUGGAGGCACCUGUGGAGCAGGCAUGGAUGGGGACUCCACACCCUGUGGAUCUCUGAGCUACCAAUGCUGGCUGGAAGUUGACCUGGUGCUGGGCAGAGGACUCUGUGCUCCGUGCUUGAAGGCACAAUGGGAUGUGCACAGGGAGCAUCUGGUCACUUCUCCCACAUGCUCAGGACUUGGCUCCCAGAAGUGAUGCUGACCCUAAUCCCACC